rnacentral:rRNA from 1 species
CAGCAGCCGCGGGAAUACGUAGGUGGCAAGCGUUGUCCGGAAUUAUUGGGCGUAAAGGGCUCGCAGGCGGUCUCUUAAGUCUGAUGUGAAAGCCCCCGGCUCAACCGGGGAGGGUCAUUGGAAACUGGGAAACUUGAGUGCAGAAGAGGAGAGUGGAAUUCCACGUGUAGCGGUGAAAUGCGUAGAGAUGUGGAGGAACACCAGUGGCGAAGGCGACUCUCUGGUCUGUAACUGACGCUGAGGAGCGAAAGCGUGGGGAGCGAACAGGAUUAGAUACCCCCGUAGUCCCCUGUCUCUUAUA